rnacentral:rRNA from 1 species
AUCUAAGUACCCCGAGGAAAAGAAAUCAACCGAGAUUCCCCCAGUAGCGGCGAGCGAACGGGGAGGAGCCCAGAGCCUGAAUCAGCAUGUGUGUUAGUGGAAGCGUCUGGAAAGGCGCGCGAUACAGGGUGACAGCCCCGUACACAAAAGCGCAUGUGCUGUGAGCUCGAUGAGUAGGGCGGGACACGUGGUAUCCUGUCUGAAUAUGGGGGGACCAUCCUCCAAGGCUAAAUACUCCUGACUGACCGAUAGUGAACCAGUACCGUGAGGGAAAGGCGAAAAGAACCCCGGCGAGGGGAGUGAAAAAGAACCUGAAACCGUGUACGUACAAGCAGUGGGAGCCCCACCACUAAGCCAGUGGUGAACUCCACAUACGCAUCCUUUGCUGAGGAUACGGUUAACGGAGCGAAAGCGACGUUCAACCGCAAAAGAAGCAGAGGGGGCUUAGUGGUGGGGUGACUGCGUACCUUUUGUAUAAUGGGUCAGCGACUUAUAUUCUGUAGCAAGGUUAACCGAAUAGGGGAGCCGCAGGGAAACCGAGUCUUAAUUGGGCGUUAAGUUGCAGGGUAUAGACCCGAAACCCGGUGAUCUAGCCAUGGGCAGGUUGAAGGUUGGGUAACACUAACUGGAGGACCGAACCGACUAAUGUUGAAAAAUUAGCGGAUGACCUGUGGCUGGGGGUGAAAGGCCAAUCAAACCGGGAGAUAGCUGGUUCUCCCCGAAAGCUAUUUAGGUAGCGCCUCGUGAAUUCAUCUCCGGGGGUAGAGCACUGUUUCGGCUAGGGGGCCAUCCCGGCUUACCAACCCGAUGCAAACUGCGAAUACCGGAGAAUGUUAUCACGGGAGACACACGGCGGGUGCUAACGUCCGUCGUGAAGAGGGAAACAACCCAGACCGCCAGCUAAGGUCCCAAAGUCAUGGUUAAGUGGGAAACGAUGUGGGAAGGCCCAGACAGCCAGGAUGUUGGCUUAGAAGCAGCCAUCAUUUAAAGAAAGCGUAAUAGCUCACUGGUCGAGUCGGCCUGCGCGGAAGAUGUAACGGGGCUAAACCAUG